GUCUCUUCUCAGCCUUUUGGCUAAGAUCAAGUAUAGUAUCUGUUCUUACCAGUUUGAGGGGGAAGGCAGCUUAUGAGUACCUUUAUUCUUAUGUAAUAGAUCAUUAGUAUUUCAUUAUAAAACUCAUUAUAUUAAAACAAUAUUCAAGCUGAACUAAC
ensembl:snRNA U2 U2 spliceosomal RNA